UACAGAGACUGCAAGCGUUAUUCGGAUUCACUGGGCGUAAAGGGUGCGCAGGCGGCCGGGCGUGUCGGGUGUGAAAGCUCAAGGCUUAACCUUGAAACUGCGCCCGAAACUAUCCGGCUAGAGUACUGGAGAGGGAAGCGGAAUUCACGGUGUAGCAGUGAAAUGCGUAGAUAUCGUGAGGAACACCAAUGGCGAAGGCAGCUUCCUGGACAGUUACUGACGCUCAGGCACGAAAGCGUGGGGAGCAAAAGGG
rnacentral:rRNA from 1 species